rnacentral:lncRNA from 1 species
GGGCGAGGCGCCUGCUGGGAGGGGCAGGCAGUUUUCCAUUUUGCUUUUGUUUGGUUCCAUCUUCCUUGUAGCUCCUGGUGCUUUGGUCUUGCCAGGUGUGUGGAAAGUUUGCCGGCUGCUGUCAGCCAGCCUUUUGGUGGAUAGCUGGUGGGAGAAAAAGAGUGCAGCAGCUGCCCCAAGUCCUGUGCUUGGCAACAUUCCCCCCAAUGAUGGGAUGCCUGGAGGCCCCAUCCCACCAGGUUUCUUUCAGCCUUUUAUGUCACCGAGAUAUGCAGGCGGCCCCAGGCCCCCGAUCAGAAUGGGAAACCAGCCUCCAGGAGGAGUUCCUGGGACACAGCCAUUGCUGCCCAAUUCCAUGGAUCCCACACGACAACAAGGUCACCCCAACAUGGGAGGGUCAAUGCAGAGAAUGAACCCUCCCCGAGGCAUGGGGCCCAUGGGGCCUGGCCCACAGAAUUACGGCAGCGGCAUGAGACCACCACCCAACUCCCUCGGCCCCGCCAUGCCUGGGAUUAACAUGGGCCCAGGAGCUGGCAGACCCUGGCCCAAUCCCAACAGUGCUAACUCAAUCCCGUACUCCUCCUCAUCACCCGGAACCUAUGUGACCCCCAUCAUGCCUAGUCCUGCGGAUUCAACAAAUUCCAGUGACAACAUCUACACAAUGAUUAAUCCUGUGCCGCCUGGAGGCAGCCGGUCUAACUUUCCAAUGGGUCCUGGCUCAGAUGGCCCAAUGGGCGGCAUGGGAGGCAUGGAGCCACACCACAUGAAUGGAUCCUUAGGAUCAGGCGACAUAGAUGGACUUCCAAAAAAUUCUCCUAACAACAUAAGUGGCAUUAGCAACCCUCCAGGCACCCCUCGGGAUGACGGCGAGCUGGGGGGGAACUUCCUCCACUCCUUCCAGAACGACAAUUAUUCUCCAAGCAUGACGAUGAGUGUGUGAUCCCUUCUCCACAACGCUGAGAGCCGGCAUUGCAGGCAGAAGAUGCCAGAAAUUAUGCAAGAAGAAGUGAGGUGUCGAUACCAGGAGCUGGGGGAGGGCGUCU